rnacentral:rRNA from 1 species
UACGUAGGGUGCGAGCGUUGUCCGGAAUUAUUGGGCGUAAAGGGCUCGUAGGCGGUCUGUUGCGUCGGGAGUGAAAACUCAGGGCUUAACCCUGAGCCUGCUUCCGAUACGGGCAGACUAGAGGUAUGCAGGGGAGAACGGAAUUCCUGGUGUAGCGGUGAAAUGCGCAGAUAUCAGGAGGAACACCGGUGGCGAAGGCGGUUCUCUGGACGGCGACUGACGCUGAGACGCGAAAGCGUGGGGAGCAAACAGG